GACGAACGCUGGCGGCGCGCCUAACACAUGCAAGUCGAACGAGCGAGAGAGAGCUUACUUUCUCAAGCGAGUGGCGAACGGGUGAGUAACGCGUGAGGAACCUGCCUCAAAGAGGGGGACAACAGUUGGAAACGACUGCUAAUACCGCAUAAGCCCACAGGUCGGCAUCGACCAGAGGGAAAAGGAGCAAUCCGCUAAUAGAUGGGCUUGCGUCUGAUUAGCUAGUUGGUGGGGUAACGGCCUACCAAGGCGACGAUCAGUAGCCGGACUGAGAGGUUGAACGGCCACAUUGGGACUGAGAUACGGCCCAG
rnacentral:rRNA from 1 species